UUGUACUCCAAGAAUCAUAUCAAUCUUAUAUCAUUCAAGAAUUAAAAGUUAGGGUUUGAGUUAAAUUGGUGGUGGUGGCUGAAAAUUCAAAGAGAAAAGGGGGAGGAGAAAUUUGUGACUUAAAGUCUUAAAUUAGUCUUGAAUCCCUUGAGGUUGAAAGCUUAGAAAGCUUGAAUUGUUGCUAUUGCGGUUAUCUUGACUUGUUUGUUGUGUCGCGAAGGAGGUAGUUCUGGAAGAAGGAACUAUGUUUGGUUGAUUGGAAGCAUUGUUUUGAAGUUACUAGUUGAUCUUGAAGGUAUAUGGCCAUUUCCGGAAUAAUGACAAUCUUUUGAUUAGAGACUUAGACAGCCCUCCUAGCUUUGGCUCAUGGUACAUUUCUUUAAAUGGUCAAGUGAAGGUCUUUUGAGUUUGUAAGUUUGUAUAUUUUGGUUUGGAAAGUGUCAAAAUGGGUAAUCAACCCAUAUGGUUAUGUAGAUGAAUGUGGAUCAUAUGGAUAUGGUAAUUAUGUUUACAAUCAUGUCAAAUGCUAGUCUAAAUCUCUGAAAUGUGUUUUAAGAAGUUUGGUUUUGAAAUUGGAAGUUCAUAGAUUUAAUCAA